rnacentral:lncRNA from 1 species
ACACCUUAAUUUUGGACUUCUACUCUCCAGAGCUGUGAGAGGAUACAUUUCGGUUAUUUUCAGCCACCCAGUUUACGGACUUUGUUAUGGCAGCCUUGGGAAGCAAAUGCACUCAGUACAUGUUAAUUUGUAUCUUACCUACUUUGUACUUGCAAGGUGUCUCUGGGUCUCUGGUGUACACCACGGCCUGCCCUUGAGCAUGCUGGGGUGCUCAGCACGGGGGUAGCCCUGCAGCCUGACUCUCUGUAGACAGAUCAGGAUCGGUCUAACAUGGAAUUAUGAAGUGGAGCCAGGGUCAGCUUUGGGCCACGCCUGCCUUCUGUGCCGGCCUUGGAUUAUGUUCAAAUUCAUCUCAUGCUACCCCAGCAGAAAAGAGUGUCUUCAAUAAAUUCACUCAAAAGGA